rnacentral:rRNA from 1 species
ACUCCUACGGGAGGCAGCAGUGGGGAAUAUUGCACAAUGGGCGCAAGCCUGAUGCAGCCAUGCCGCGUGUAUGAAAGAAGGCCCUUCGGGUUGUAAAGUACUUUCUAGCAGUGAGGAAGGGUGGGGUAGUGUUAAUAGCAUACUCAUUUUUGACGUUUUAGCUGCAGAAGAAGCACCGGCUAACUCCGUGCCAGCAGCCGCGGUAAUACGGAGGGUGCGAGCGUUAAUCGGAAUUACUGGGCGUAAAGCGCAUGCAGGUGGUUUGUUAAGUUCAGAUGUGAAAGCCCGGGGCUCAACCUCGGAAUUGCAUUUGAAACUGGCAAACUAGAGUACUGUAGAGGGGGUAGAAUUUC